rnacentral:lncRNA from 1 species
GCCCGGGUAUGGCUCAACCAAUCCAACUAUUUAUCAGAUAGUACAAUAGAGUCAUCAUAUGAUAAAUAAUAAUUUUAUCAUUUAAAAAAAUAUCAAAUGGAUGGCACCUGCAAUGUCAAUCAGAAAUAAUGGAUCCAUUAUCAUUCACCUUAAUGAAAGGCUAUGAUCUAGUUAUCACCAUAACUAGCUCAUUUUAUAGACCUAAUAAUUUAGAGAAUUUAGUUAACAUAAUUUAUCAGAAUUAAAUACAUAGACCAACUAAUCUCAAUCCUCCCAAUGACUUCACCAAAUCAGAUCAAGAUGGACUAGAAACAAGUGGGUCCAACUGAUGAGUCAUCAAUCCUCCACUAACUUUACCAAGUCAUGUCGAGGAUAAAGACAAGUCGAACUAGGGGCACCUAAAUCAGUCGAACUGAUUUUCUAGUAAGCAUGGGUCAACCCUAAUCAUUAAGUGAUAUGAUCAAAAGUUGAUUCACCAUGUUGGCCAGGUAAGUG